UACGGAGGGUGCGAGCGUUAUUCGGAAUUACUGGGCGUAAAGCGCGUGUAGGCGGGGAUGCAAGUCUGAUGUGAAAGCCCUGGGCUUAACCUGGGAAGUGCAUUGGAAACUGCAUUUCUUGAGUACUGGAGAGGAAGGGGGAAUUCCCGGUGUAGAGGUGAAAUUCGUAGAGAUCGGGAGGAAUACCAGUGGCGUAGGCGCCCUUCUGGACGGUUACUGACGCUGAGACGCGAAAGCGUGGGGAGCAAACAGG
rnacentral:rRNA from 1 species